CCUACGGGAGGCAGCAGUGCGGAAUAUUGGACAGUGGGCGAAAGCCUGAUCCAGCCAUGCUGCGUGUGUGAAGAAGGUCUUCGGAUUGUAAAGCACUUUAAGUUGGGAGGAAGGGCAGUAAGUUACUACCUUGCUGUUUUGACGUUACCAACAGAAUAAGCACCGGCUAACUUCGUGCCAGCAGCCGCGGUAAUA
rnacentral:rRNA from 1 species